GAUGAACGCUAGCUGCAGGCUUAACACAUGCAAGUCGAGCGACCGGCGCACGGGUGAGUAACACGUAUCCAACCUGCCCUUUCCUCGGGGAUAGCCUUUCGAAAGAAAGAUUAAUACCCGAUAUAAAGGAUGGGGAUGCGUUCCCUUAGGUUGUUGGUGAGGUAACGGCUAGCCAAGCGUUCGAUGGAUGGGGGUUAGGAGAGGAAGGUGCACGGCAAUGGAACUGAGGCACGGUCCCAACGCCUACGGGAGGGAGCAGUGAGGAAGAUUGGUGAAGGGGCGCUAGCCGGAACCAGCCAAGUAGCGUGAAGGAGGAAGGCGUAUGGGUCAUAUACUUCUUUUAUAUAAGAAUAGGUAUUAUAUGAAUAAGGAUCGGCUAACUCCGUGCCAGCAGCCGCGGUAAUUC
rnacentral:rRNA from 1 species